AGUGAACGCUGGCGGCAGGCCUAAUACAUGCAAGUCGAACGGCAGCACAGCAGAGCUUGCUCUGUGGGUGGCGAGUGGCGGACGGGUGAGGAAUACGUGGGAAUCUGCCCAGUCGUGGGGGAUAACGUAGGGAAACUUACGCUAAUACCGCAUGCGCCCUUCGGGGGAAAGCCGGGGACCUUCGGGCCUGGCGCGAUUGGAUGAGCCCACGUCGGAUUAGCUAGUUGGCGGGGUAAAGGCCCACCAAGGCGACGAUCCGUAGCUGGUCUGAGAGGAUGAUCAGCCACACUGGAAUUGAGACACGGUCCAGACUCCUACGGGAGGCAGCAGUAGGGAAUAUUGGACAAUGGGCGCAAGCCUGAUCCAGCCAUGCCGCGUGAGUGAAGAAGGCCCUCGGGUUGUAAAGCUCUUUUGUCCGGAAAGAAAAGCGCCGGGUUAAUACCCUGGUGUCCUGACGGUACCGGAAGAAUAAGCACCGGCUAACUUCGUG
rnacentral:rRNA from 1 species